rnacentral:rRNA from 1 species
AUUGAACGCUGGCGGCAGGCUUAACACAUGCAAGUCGAACGAGCGGCGGACGGGUGAGUAAUGCAUGGGGAUCUGGCCUAUGGAGGGGGAUAACUACUGGAAACUGUGGCUAAUACCGCGUACUAGAGGAUGAGCCCAAGUGGGAUUAGCUAGUAGGUGGGGUAAAGGCUCACCAAGCGACGAUCUCUAGCUGGUCUGAGAGGAUGAUCAGCAACACUGGGACUGAGACACGGCCCAGACUCCUACGGGAGGCAGCAGUGGGGAAUAUUGCGCAAUGGGCGCAACCCUGACGCAGCCAUGCCGCGUGUAGGAAGAAGGCCUUCGGGUUGUAAAGUACUUUCGGUGGGGAGGCGUUACCUACAGAAGAAGCACCGGCUAACUCCGUGCCAGCAGCCGCGGUAAUAC